AUAGCGGAAGUUGCUCGAUCUCUCAAAGGUCUACGAUGGCUAUCAAGGGUCGUAACAUCUUCGUUGAAGAUUUGUCCUUAGAUGGAGCUCUUGUACUCCAAGCUGUUGAUGAGGCAGAGGUAAAGGUAGGAGGUUCAUUGCAGAAAAAGGGAUGGAAUUUGGAUCCUUGAAAAUAUAUACUACAAAGAUACUUGAAUACCUGAAGAGUUAAGGAUUAGAGGCUUCAGAAUCAAAAAGGACGAGCAACUUGAGAAAUGUUACAGCGAGCCUGGCAAAUUUGACUUGAAGGCUUGAAGGUGAAGUUAAAUAUCUUGUCGAGUUUAUUUAAUUUACUAGAUUAUGCUCAUAUAAUUAAUGUCAAGCCAUGAAUAAUACCUCCUGUUGAGCUUUUGUAAUUUACUUUGGGAGAUAUAUAGUUGUUAAUUAGAUAAAAUGAGGUAAUAUAGCUUUUUGGUGAAAAUGGUGGGUCUUUUAGAUGUUUUCUUCAACUAUUUUUAGGGGGCUUCGAUCCUUCUAAAAUUCUUUUUUUCUACUCUUAGAAGAAUAAUUACACCAAAUAUUCGUUGUAUGCAUAAUAAUUAAUAAACUAUGUGUAAUAACAUAUUCCUUCUUUAA